UAGCUUCGCUGUCGUUGAUGAUGUUGGGUUAACGUCCCGCAACGAGCGCAACCCCUGAUUCCUUAGUAGCCAGCAGUAAGAUGGGCACUCUAAGGAGACUGCCGGGGACAAACCGGAGGAAGGGGUGGACGACGUCAAAUCAUCACUGCCCCUUAUGAUUUGGGCUACACACGUUNCUACAAUGGGGUAAACAAAGGGAAGCGAGAGUGCGAGCUGGANGCAAAUCCCAAAAAUAACGUCCCAUUCUGGACUGCAGUCUGCCAACUCCACUGCACGAAGCUGGAAUCCUAUUAAUCGCCGGAUCAAAUGGCGGGGGUGAAUACCUUCCC
rnacentral:rRNA from 1 species